rnacentral:rRNA from 1 species
UACGUAGGGACCAAGCGUUGUUCGGAUUUACUGGGCGUAAAGAGCUCGUAGGCGGUCUGUCACGUCGGCUGUGAAAACCUGGGGCUCAACUCCAGGCCUGCAGUCGAUACGGGCAGACUAGAGUUCGGUAGGGGAGACUGGAAUUCCUGGUGUAGCGGUGAAAUGCGCAGAUAUCAGGAGGAACACCAGUGGCGAAGGCGGCUCACUGGCCCGGUACUGACGCUGAGGUGCGAAAGCGUGGGGAGCAAACAGG